rnacentral:misc_RNA from 1 species
UGUAAAUUUACAAUGCCAAGAUAGAUCAAAAGGAUUAUUGACCUCACAUUGUGCUCGUUUAAAAAAAAAAAUCCGGGCUUUAUUUCCCAAUGCAUCAAGAAUAUUUUUAUAUAUAUUCUAUAGGCUCUCUCAAAUAUAAGGCCGUAAUGAGAAUCAAUUAAUCUUCAAAUUGUCACCCAUCUUUAAGAAAGUUGCUAAUGUAUUGAUAGCUACAACCUUCUCGAAUAGAAGAUGCUAAGUUUAGAUUUCCCUUUCCCAAUUUGUCCAUAUAAAACCCUCAUCUAUCACAGGAGUGCCACCACCAUUUGAUAAAAAAUCCACAAUGCACAAGUGAAUGAUGAGAAAGGGUCAAUACCAGAAAGAUCCUUCCAUCAUCCAUGAACUGAGCAAAAUUCCUAUAUCAGGCAAUCGAAAGACCUACUUAAAACUGCUGUUUUAGAGGCCAAUCCAGUGCAUAAAAGCGACUAACUGAUUUACAUUUGACAUGGUUGCAAAGAGCAG